AUUGAACGCUGGCGGCAUGCUUUACACAUGCAAGUCGAACGGCAGCGCGGAGAAGCUUGCUUCUCUGUCGGCGAGUGGCGAACGGGUGAGUAUAGCAUCGGAACGUGCCAAGUAGUGGGGGAUAACCAAACGAAAGUUUGGCUAAUACCGCGUAAGCUCUCAGGAGGAAAGUAGGGGACCUAAAUAGGCCUUACGCUAUUUGAUCGGCCGAUGUCGGAUUAGCUAGUUGGUGGGGUAAUGGCUCACCAAGGCAAUGAUCCGUAGCGGGUCUGAGAGGACGAUCCGCCACACUGGGACUGAGACACGGCCCAGACUCCUACGGGAGGCAGCAGUGGGGAAUUUUGGACAAUGGGGGAAACCCUGAUCCAGCCAUGCCGCGUGUAUGAAGAAGGCCUUAGGGUUGUAAAGUACUUUUGUUAGGGAAGAAAAGCUAGUUUUUAAUAAAAAUUAGUGAUGACGGUACCUAAAGAAUAAGCACCGGCUAACUACGUG
rnacentral:rRNA from 1 species